rnacentral:rRNA from 1 species
UGGGGAAUCUUCCGCAAUGGACGAAAGUCUGACGGAGCAACGCCGCGUGUAUGAUGAAGGUCUUCGGAUUGUAAAGUACUGUCAUUGGGGAAGAACGGUUUUCUUGAAAAGAUUGAGAAGACAUGACGGUACCCAAGGAGGAAGCCCCGGCUAACUACGUGCCAGCAGCCGCGGUAAUACGUAGGGGGCAAGCGUUGUCCGGAAUUAUUGGGCGUAAAGGGCGCGUAGGCGGGCCUUUAAGUCCGGUGUGAAAGAUCAGGGCUCAACCCUGAGAGUGCAUCGGAAACUGGAGGCCUUGAGGACAGGAGAGGAAAGUGGAAUUCCACGUGUAGCGGUGAAAUGCGUAGAUAUGUGGAGGAACACCAGUGGCGAAGGCGACUUUCUGGACUGUAACUGACGCUGAGGCGCGAAAGCGUGGGGAGCAAACAGGAUUAGAUACCCUGGUAGUCCACGCCGUAAACGAUGAGUGCUAGGUGUAGAGGGUAUCGACCCCUUCUGUGCCGCAGUUAACACAAUAAGCACUCCGCCUGGGGAGUACGGCCGCAAGGUUGAAACUUAAAUGAAUUGACGGGGUCAUAGCUGUUUCCU